rnacentral:lncRNA from 10 species
AGAUUUCUCCAGUCAGAGUUUGGUCCUUCUUCUGACUCUCAACUCCUGAUGGCAUCAGAACACAGGCAGCAUCAAGAUCAGGCUCAAGAUGCAGGAUUUUAUCAUCCAAAUCAGGCCCACAUAUGGAUGAAACCCUUCAGGUUUUUCUAUUCUCAUUAACAGUGUCCUCAAGAUCUUUGCAGCGUUUGCUCAUUGUCUGGUUCCAAAACCAUGGCCACAUGUUUUAGAUAGUUAUGGCAGCACUCCACUUCCAGGUUUAGGAAUUACACAUUCGAGCUUCUGGUUCCAUAUCUCCCAUUGCUUGGCUGCACUUGAACUGAGGAUUCUGACAGCUGACAAAUGACAUUCCAAGAACUUAGCCAGAGCCCAGAUUGUGCCCUGCUGUGGGAAUUUCUCCUCAUAGAUUUGUCCAACAACUCUGCUCUGGAGAAAAUGCUCAGGUGAUGCAUUCCCAGUGGUAGCUCAGUUCCCAUCAACUCACCACUGGUGCCUGCAUUAGGAUGUUUUUCUUUCUUCAGGUAUUCUGCACAUCUCUCAGGAAACCCAGAUGAAAUUGAGUGCCUGCUGCCCACAUCAGCAACCCAGACUGAGUGCUGGGCUACUCCAAAAUGGACCUUAGGACCGGAUAUAUGCCUACAGCUCAUGGGUAAGGCCUUUCUGUAGCAAUACCUGGGGGGAUUUCAUCA